rnacentral:rRNA from 1 species
GACGAACGCUGGCGGCGUGCUUAACACAUGCAAGUCGAACGAUGAAGCCGGAGCUUGCUCCGGUGGAUUAGUGGCGAACGGGUGAGUAAUACGUGAGCAAUCUGCCCUUGACUCUGGGAUAACUGCGGGAAACUGUAGCUAAUACCGGAUACGACACCUUGGGGCAUCCCAGGGUGUGGAAAGAAUUUCGGUCAAGGAUGAGCUCGCGGCCUAUCAGCUAGUUGGUGAGGUAAUGGCUCACCAAGGCGACGACGGGUAGCCGGCCUGAGAGGGUGACCGGCCACACUGGAACUGAGACACGGUCCAGACUCCUACGGGAGGCAGCAGUGGGGAAUAUUGCACAAUGGGCGAAAGCCUGAUGCAGCGACGCCGCGUGAGGGAUGAAGGCCUUCGGGUUGUAAACCUCUUUUAGCAGGGAAGAAGCGAAAGUGACGGUACCUGCAGAAAAAGCACCGGCUAACUACGUGCCAGCCGCCGCAGUAA